AUUGAACGCUAGCGGGAUGCCUUACACAUGCAAGUCGAACGGAGUGGCGAACGGGUGAGUAAUGUAUCGGAACGUGCCCAGUAGCGGGGGAUAACUACGCGAAAGCGUACCUAAUACCGCAUACUAUUGGAGCGGCCGAUAGCGGAUUAGCUAGUUGGUGUGGUAACGGCUCACCAAGGCGACGAUCCGUAGCUGGUUUGAGAGGACGACAGGCCACACUGGGACUGAGAGACGGCCCAGAAUCCUACGGACGGCAGCAGUGGGGAAUUUUGGACAAUGGAGGAAACCCUGAUCCAGCCAUCCCGCGUGGGCGAUGAAGGCCUUCGGGUUGUAAAGCACUGUUGGCAGGAAAGCGGUACCUGAAGAAUAAGCACCGGCUAACUACGUGCCAGCAGCCGCGGUAAUUC
rnacentral:rRNA from 1 species